AUGAGGUACGAAGAAGGGGAGUGCCUGCAGCAGAAUUAUGAUUCAGCUAAAGUUACGGCAGAUGGGUAUUGCCCUGCUUGUAAAGAGAAGGGGAAGUUAAAAGUCUUACAGACUUACCGAAUUAGUUUUCAAGAAUCUUUUUGUGUGAAGAUCUGCAGUGCAUCUAUCUUUUGGGCUCUAAAUCACUUAGUAAACUAAUUUCUCCUGAUUCAGAAGAGUGUCAUACUCCAAUAAGCCUCAAAAAAGAAAGAUCUUGAAAGCCAACUGUAAAGAUUCACUUCUUUUAGCAAAUUCCAAAAAGACUAGAAAUUAUAUUGUUAUUGAUGGUGAACAGAUUUUGAAUAGCAAACAUAACGGAGAAGUAUAUGAUGAAACCUCAUCAAAUUCAAUUAAGACAGCUGAUUCCUUGGAGCAAAAUGAGAUUUUGGAAGCUGAUAUUGUUGACUCAGCAAAACUUGGAUCUGAAAAAGAUCCUACUACAGUUGAUGUCUCUGGAACUGUGGGGACUUCCCCUCAAAAUGAAGGAUGUACAUCUGAACUGGAAAUGGCAUUGGAGAGCAAACGUACAUCAUUUCACCAGGCUUUAUGUGUCCAGUGGAAAAAUGCUUAUGCUCUCUGUUGGUUAGACUGUAUCCUGUCAGCUUUGGUGCACUUGGAAGGAUUAAAGAACACUGUGACUCAACUGUGCUCUAAGGAGGACUCUGUUGUAUUCUGGCAGCUAUUCACAAAAUAUAAUCAAGCAAAUAAGCUUUUGUAUGCCAAUCAAUUGGAUGGAGUUAAAGAUGGAGAUUGUAAAAUACUUAAUUCAGACAGCAGAAAUAAAGACCUGUCUGAAUGAAGUCAGAGAUGAAAUUUUUAGUAGACUUCAGCCCCAGCUUAGAUGCACAUUAGGUUAUAUGGAAAGCCCUGUGUUUGCAUUUCCUGUGCUCUUAAAAAUAGAGCCCCACAUUGAAAAACUCUUUCUGUAUUCUUUUUCUUGGGACUUCGAAUGUUCACAGUGUGGACACUGCUAUUCAAACAGGACAUCAACAAUGAGGUAUAUGAAGAGUUUGGUCACCUUUACAAGUAUCACCCCUGAGUGGCACCCACUUAAUGCUGCCCAUUUUGGUCCGUGUAACAGUUGCAAUGAUAAGUCACAAAUAUGAAAAAUGGCAUUGGAAAAAGCUUCUCCCAUUUUCAUGUUGCACUUCGUACAAGGUUUACCACAGAAUGACUUGCAGCAGUAUGCAUUUCAUUUUGAAGGUUGUCUUUAUCAAGUAACUUCUGUAAUUCAGUACCAAGCAAAUAAUUUUAUAACAUGGAUUUUUAGAUGCUGAUUGAAGUUGGUUAGAAUGUGAUGACUUAAAUGGCCUACAUUCUGAAAGGCAAGAGAACUUUGAAGUUCCUGCUUUAGAGAUACAUAUUGUUAUUUGGGAAAGAAAAACAGCUCAAGUAACAGAUAAAGAAGCUGCUUGCCCCCUGCUUAAAAAGUCUAAUGAUCAACAUGCUUUCAGUGAUGAGAAACUAGUGUCUUCAGCUUUGUGUUCUGUGGGUAAUGAUCCCUCAUCUGAAACAACCUCGGUAAUUCACACCACAGUUAUGUCAGUUGCUUCUCAAACUAUUCCACAGGGCAAAGUUGUAGCUCACGGAGAUCAUUUACUUUUAAGUCCAAAAGUUUUGGUUGACAGUAAUAUUUUACCUUUGACACUUGAAGAAAACUAUCCAGAAAACUGCCUCAGUUUUUCAGGUUAACUCUGAAGCUUUCCUGUUAGCAAAUAAACCUGUGGCAGAAAAUAUAGGAAUUGUCAAAACAAAUACCUUGCAGUCACAAGAAUCACUGAUGACUUCUACAGUAUCAAGUCCGUGUAAAGAAAAUCUUAUCCAUGACCAGUUUGUGGAUUUAAACUUUCCAUCUCAAGUUGCAAAUACAAGCAUGCAGCCAGUACAGCUGAAUAUAGAAGAUGCUGUAAUUGCUGUGUCUGUGGAUAAUAUUCAUGCUGCUGAUCUCAUACAGGAAAUGAAGUCAGUAGAAAUUGAGACAGAUGCUCAGUUAAAACAGUUCCUUAUACCAAAAACUGAGAAAUUAAAACCAGAACAAGCUAUAUCUCAGGUAUCUAAUUUGAAGAAAAAAGAAACCGCAGCAGAUGCUCCAAACAUAACAGCUAAGUCACUACAGAGUCAGUCUGUGAAAGAAAAUCCAAAGAAACCAUUUGUGGGAAGUUGGGUUAAAGGCUUAUUAAGCAGGGGUGCUUCUUUUAUGCCACCUUGUGUUUCAGCUCAUAGUAGAAACACUGUAAGUCAUCUGCAGCCUUCAGUUAAAGGGGCAAAUAAUUUUGGUGGCUUUAAAACUAAAGGAAUAAACCGGAAGGCCAGCCGGGUAUCCAGGAAAUCUAGGGGUACAAGUAAGCCUCCUCCAGUGAGUAGGCCUCCAGCAGGUCCUCCAUCGUCCAGUAGCACUGCUGCUCACCCAUGUGCUAAUACCACUGCUGCUUCUGAAGCUGUGAAGAAGGAUGAAAGGGCCUCAAAUGGAGCUCACCUCAACCACAAUUCUUGUGGAAAUGAAAAUUGUGUUUCUUCAGUAAACACGGAGGCUCAGUUGAGGAUCAGAUUCGUAAAGUUGGCCUAAAACUUCUUAAAAAACUAAAAGGAAAAAAGAAGAAAUUAGCUGCUCUUACAUCUCCCCCCCACCAAAGUGGAAAACUUCCGAGUGAAAAUUUAGAAGAAGUGCCUCAGGGUUGGUCUCCAAAUGAUUGUGAAUCUAUAGAAGACUUGUUAAAUGAACUGCUGCAUCAAAUUGACAUUGCAGAUAAGAAGGCUGGAUGCACCACUGUUUCUGGUGUUUCCCUGUACAGUAGUCAAAGUCAUGAAGAAAUUUUCGCAGAAUUAUUGUCUCCUACAACUGUUGUUUCAACAGAGCUAUCAGGGAAUGGGGAAUCUGACUUUAGGUAUUUGGAAAUGGGAGAUAACAGUAUACCAGCUCCAGCACCUGGUGAAUCAAACAGUCUUUCCCAGAACACAUAUCUAGGACAGGAUCAUAUUUAUUGCAGCCGCACCAAGAAAAAUCCAUGUGAAGUUGAACCAGACUCCCUAACAAAUAAUGCCCGUGGUAGAACAUUGAACUUGGAGAGUCCCAUGAAGAAUGAUAUUUUUGAUGAGUUUUUUCCACUUCAUCAUUAAAUUCUUUAGCAAAUGAUGCAUUAGACUUACCUCAUUUUGAUGAGUAUCUGUUUGAGAAUUGUUAA